GCCGCGUCUUCCGGCCGGCGCGGCGGGAAACUCGGGCUGGGCAGCAUGGCGGCGGCAGGUUUUCCGAGGGUCGCGGUGCGGGCGGAGGGCGGCUCCCGCGUUCAACAGGCUGUGCAAGGAAGCGGACUGGUUUUGUACACGCCGAACUUGUUGCCUGCCAGUAAUUGGAUCGGAGGAUGCACCCCUGGCCCUUGCAGGGCGCCGCAGCCCAGCGGUUUCCCAGUUUAGCCCGGUGGCGGCUGAACCGCAGUUUCCAUUCGGUCAGCCCCGUGUUUUUGCGCCAAGCGACACACCAUCCGGGAGAGGCCCAGGAUGCUCGUGGGAUCCAGCGUUUCGACAUCUUGAACAUUUUUCCUACUCCAUAUUUGCGGCCCAUAAAGAAGAGCGUGGGGCUCAGAACCGUUGAUGUGAUGUGCAGAGCCUCAGCCCAGGAGCUCCUGGCCCGGUGUCUGGCCCGUCCUCUGCCAUUGGAGAAAGGGGAGAGCAACAGGUGUGAAGAUCAGCUUCAUCAGUGGUUGUGCAAAGACUCAGGAGCAUUUGCCGAUUCAGCUUCCUUUCCUCUUGACCUUCCUCACACAUGGAUUCCACUGCCUCUGUCUUAGAUUGUUGACCUGGGACGAGAACCUCGGCACUGCCCGCCCUCAGAAAGAAGGACAGGGAGCAGCUGCAGCUGUCAGAGGCAACAGUCACCUCUGACAGCACCUGAAGCACCUAGAAAAGCUGCUCCUGAGUUCAAGGGAGGAGGAAGUUGCCUCUGAGCCCCAUCUCUGUGCACCGCUGCACGCGGUGGACAUUUGAGCUGCCUGACCUAAGAGAGAGAGGGAAGUCUCUCCAGAAAAUUUCUGCUUUUACUCAAAAUUCAGUGAAACCUUGGAUUGCAAGUAACUUGUUCUGAGAGUGUUCCGCAAGACCCUUUCUUUUUUUUUUUUUUUUUUAAUUAAAAAAAUUUUUUUUUCAACGUUUAUUUAUUUUUGGGACAGAGAGAGAGCAUGAACGGGGUAGGGGCAGAGAGAGAGGGAGACACAGAAUGGGAAACAGGCUCCAGGCUCUGAGCCAUCAACCCAGAGCCCGACGCGGGGCUCGAACUCACGGACCGCGAGAUCGUGACCUGGCUGAAGUCGGACGCUUAACCGACUGCGCCACCCAGGCGCCCCCCGCAAGACCCUUUCUAAUAAGUUUUAACUUGAUAAACGAGCGACGUCAUGUGAUACGAGUAGUAUGUGAUGCCGAACAUCACAUGAUCACAAUAGUUCUUGAAAUUCGUCUUGAUAUACAAGUGCUUUGGAUUAUAAGUAUGUUUUCAGAACGAAUUAUGCUUGCAAACCAAGGUUUUACUGUAAUGUUAUUCUCAGAUGCUUGAUGCACUGUUGGAAAUAUAAUUAUUAAUCAUGCAAAUAAACCACUUGAAAGUUAAAAAAGAAGGAUAUAA
rnacentral:lncRNA from 1 species